AUGCUGAAACCGGUCAUCUGCGCCAGGACAAGCAUGUAUCCUCCACUUGCUAGGUCAACAUUACUAAACUCCAGUAUCAGUGAUUCUUGGAGCGAUGAGGAACUUGUGCUAUUCUUGGUAGAGAGAAAGGAAGGGAACUCCCUGCCAGAGAACGUAGUUGUCGACAUGGACGUUUCUCUUGUUGAUCCACCAAUCUCCUCCCCUGGUUAG
rnacentral:rRNA from 1 species